UCAUCAUCGGUUGUUCACUUGGGCUCCCUAACAUAUUUAUCUUGAAUGUUCGAUCUAAAUCGAAGGGUCCAAACUCAACCCAAUUUACAUAUCACCUACACAAAACCCGUAGACAAGUUUUCCUCGUUCGCCGCCGCCACUCUCUCGUGGAUCCCAUCAAAUCCAUCCAUCCUCUCAGCAAACCACCUACUUCCUUGCUUUCAGCCGCGGGACAACCACCAGUGCCUCCACCUCGCUCCUGGACAUGUCCAACCGCCCCCAGCCUCAGUCGUCUGCGUGACCUCAUGAGCAGGAGCUCUCUCGCAGCCUUUCCGACCCGCAAGGAUUCGCCGGAGUCCGACGUCGCCGGCUCCCCACAGGCCGACCCCGACGCCCUUUCCCCUUGCUUCCUGAUUUCUUCACCUUUCGAUGCUCUCUCUCAUCUUUGUAUUUUUUUCUCUCUGUUCCAACAGCUUGGGCUGCCGCCAUGAAUGCCAUCUCAGGAGAGCCAUGGCGCCACUUAAAUCUCUAUAGCCGCCAUUGACACCCGAGAUCCACUGUUCCCGUAGCCCUGUAGUAGCCUCCGUAUGUGACCACGAGAGCCGCAGGUCUAGAGGAACAUCAAGUAUGGCCUCGCCGCUGACCAGCCAGAGCACUGGAUCUGCGCCACUCCACCGCCCCACAAACGGAUCCGGAGGAACCUCGCCACUGUACAUGCCCAGCCACGGUCAUGGAGAAGUUGUCUCCGUUAUUUUGUUGGUGUAGCUUUCAGAUUCGCGUUAGCAUAUUGUUUCAUGUUCAAACGUCCCCUUUGCAUCGCAAACUUAGGAUGUUUGGAUACGUUUUAGUUUCAUGAUUAAGAGGAUGCUUGAUAUGUUUUAAUACCAUGAUAAAAAGUAAUAAGACUAAAAAUUGCUAGCUU